UCUUAUAAUGGAUCUCUCAGUCACAUCAACGCCCGAGUCUAUGGUGAUGAUAAUGUUUGUGCAAAGUGGAUGCCAAGUGACUGCACAAUCAAGGUUUCUGAGUAGUUGAAAUAGAUAAGUCUUGAGUCAAUCAGUACAUCUGUACCACAUUCAUGUGGCAAAUGCUGCUUUAUGGAGAUGUUUCUAAUACUGACCUACAAUAAUUCAGCCAAGAUCACGUUUCUACUGUCUUCAGGAAAUGAGAAAAAUGAAUCCAGGAAAUUUCCAUCUUUAACUAUACUCUGUAAAUGUGCUGUCCAAUACACAGAUAGCUACUGAGCACUGGAAUAUAGCUAGUCUGAAUGGAGAUGUUCUCUGCCCAGUUCUCCUCCUUCAGUGGAACCAGCUAUUGUUCCUUCCAAGGUUCUUGUGUAUUGCUUCAAAGGCACCCAGAGAAACUAUUUGGUGUAAGAAGAGAAUACAAUAUUAAGGCAUGAUGAAUACAAAGAAGAUUUCUAUUUUUAAGAGGGAGGUAUUGACUUUCAUCUGCAUCUUGAUUUAAUUUUUGUUCUGGAAAACAAAGGUCUCCAUAGGAAUUAGUAGUGAACCUCUAGAAAUACACUGGAUGAAGACCGCUAAGCCAGUGCUACUCAAAAUGUGAUUCAUAGCCUGAUACCUGCUUCUGAACUGAUACUGGAUCGCAAUAAGAAGGACGUGUUUGCUUCCCCUUCUGCCGUGACUGUAAGUUUCCUGAGGCCUCCCCAGCCCUGCAGAACUAUAUCUGUCCAUCGAAUCCUGACAGCAGAUUCUUCAGCUCCAGUCUUUAUGAAGAGGACAAAUGGAUUUGAGUAGAGAAAUAACGAGAUGAAAGACAAAUCAGACUGUACAGAAAUCCCUUAAAUGCUCUGAUCUCCAGUUCCAGUAUCUGAACAAAAGGAUAGUGAUACCUGAGGAUUUGUGAGGCUUAAAUGAGAUCCAUUUGGAGUUCUUUCUGAUGCAUUAUGUGAGGGGGUACAUGUGCAGUUUAUGUGAUUACACUGCAUGAUGCUGAGAAUGGGGUAUGGAUCCUGUCACGCAGAUAUUUUGGAUACAUCUGGAAUUGACUUUUUUGCAUGGUGUAAGAAAUAACAGUUCUUCCUGGAUCAGCCCUCUCCCGUCUGUCAUCUCCAACAGAUACAAAGCCAGCUUUAAGAAGACCAAACCUACAAAAAUCAUUCAUGCUUUCUGCCUCCAUGUUUUUCUUUCCAACCUAGUUCCUCCAGAAAAUGUAAAAGAGCAACCGAACCGUCAACUGGUACAAUGACUUCUACACAUCAGACCUCGGCCACGCCACAGUCAUCAGAUUAUUCUAUCACAGGGUCUCUCAACCGUGGAAUAUGGUCUCCAAGGGAAACAAGCCACAGAGGGCUCAGGAGCAUUGCUAUAAAGAGUAGGCAAAUGGAAAUCUUUCCCCAAAGGGCACACUGGGAUUGUUAGGCGAGGGCUGCUCAAUCCAUUAAAAGUUUAAACUCGAAAAAAAAAAAGAAAAAAAAAA
ensembl:lncRNA novel transcript